AAGCAGGCUGCCUGCCCUAGCAGUAGCAACUUGCUCAGAUUUAUGUUUCCGUAGUGUGGGAGCUUUGUUCUUUCACUGUUUGCGGUGCCAUUCCAUAUAAAGUGAAGGAUAACGGCUACAGCAUUUUUUGUUAGACUUGGACAAUGUUGAAUGUACUACAGAAGCAUACUUUAAGUAGACAGGAUUUCACCAUGUUGGCCUGGCUGGUCUUGAACUCCUGACCUCAUGAUCCACCCACCUUGGCCUCCCAAAAUGCUAGGAUUACAGGUUUGAGACAGGGUCUCACUCUGUCACCCAGGCUGGAGUACAGUGGCUCGACCUCAGCUCACUACAACCUCUGCCUCCUGGGCUCAAUCAAUCUUCCCACAUCAGCCUCGUAGGAUAUCUCUCUGUCGGCUAGGCUGGAGUGUAGUGGUGUGAUCAUCAUGGCUCACUGUGGCCUCAAACUCCUACUAUGGACAGGAGACAGGGAAAUACUGGGUAGAAGAGGACAGUUCCCCAGCAAAGGCCCCACCCUCAAGCCUGGAUACCCAUGGCCCUAAAUGGGAACAGGCAUUUCUGUUUUUGCACCCCAAAAGUUGACUUUUGGCCCACAUGCUCCCUAUCCUGUACCCAUAUAAACCCCAAAUUCCAGGCUCCAGAGAGAGACAAGGAGAUGAGGAGACAAGCAGACGAACAGCGGAACAAUGCAGCAGAGAAAGAGAGAAGAGAAGGAACGUCUGAACGUCGAGAGGAGUUCGGCUGCUGGACGGCCAAACUCCAGGGGAAGAUCAUCUUCCCACUCCAUUCCCCCUCCAGCUCCCCAUCCAUCCCACUGAGAG
rnacentral:lncRNA from 1 species